GAUGAACGCUGGCGGCGUGCUUAACACAUGCAAGUCGAACGGAAAGGCCCUGCUUUUGUGGGGUGCUCGAGUGGGGAACGGGUGAGUAACACGUGAGUAACCUGCCCUUGACUGUGGGAUAACUUCAGGAAACUGGGGCUAAUACAGGCUAGGAGCUCCUGCUGCAUGGUGGUGGUCGGAAAGCUUCGGCGGAUGGGGAUGGAUUCGCGGCUUAUCAGCUUGUUGGUGGGGUAGUUGCUUACCAAGGCUUUGACGGAUAGCCGGCAUGGGAGGGUGGACAGCCACAUGGGUACUGCGAGACGGCGCAGACGGCAACGGGAGGCAACAGUCGGGAGUCUUGCACAAUGAUGGGAAGCCUGUUGCGGCAACGCUGCGAGCGGAAUGACGGCCUUCGGGUGGUAAACCGCUUUCGCCUGUUACGAAGCGUGAGUGACGGUAAUGGGUAAAGAAGCACCGGCUAACUACGUG
rnacentral:rRNA from 1 species